GACAGAGGUGCCGAGCGUUAGGCGGAAUCACUGGGCUUAAAGCGUGUGUAGGCGGAUCGUUAAGUACCUUGUGAAAUCCCCCGGCUCAACCGGGGAACUGCUGGGUAUACUGGCGAUCUUGAGCAAUCUAGGGGCAGAUGGAACAAGUGGUGGAGCGGUGAAAUGCGUAGAUAUCGUCUGGAACGCCGAAGGUGAAAACAGCUCGCCGGGGCUGCGCUGACGCUGAGACACGAAAGCCAGGGGAGCGAACGGG
rnacentral:rRNA from 1 species